rnacentral:tmRNA from 1 species
GGGGGCGGUACCCGGCGCCUCCACCAAAAUAUAAUAAACAAAAAUUUAUAUUUUGAUGGGGGCGAAAUAGGAUCGACAAGAGUGUAAAGAUUCGCUCUUUUACUCGGUAUAGUACCACCGUUAUCGGACUAAAUGAGUAGUUGCAAAUGACAACUAUGCGGAAGCACGUCUCGCCGCUUGAGUCGGCGUGAAUGCUUCAAAUUAAGUCUUAAACCGUCGCAGGUUUAAGCGGGGUUCGAAGGCACCUGGAAACAGAAGCCCA